AUUGAACGCUGGCGGCAGGCCUAACACAUGCAAGUCGAACGGUAACAGGAAGCAGCUUGCUGCUUUGCUGACGAGUGGCGGACGGGUGAGUAAUGUCUGGGAAACUGCCUGAUGGAGGGGGAUAACUACUGGAAACGGUAGCUAAUACCGCAUAACGUCGCAAGCCCAAAGAGGGGGACCUUAGGGCCUCUUGCCAUCGGAUGUGCCCAGAUGGGAUUAGCUAGUAGGUGGGGUAACGGCUCACCUAGGCGACGAUCCCUAGCUGGUCUGAGAGGAUGACCAGCCACACUGGAACUGAGACACGGACCAGACUCCUACGGGAGGCAGCAGUGGGGAAUAUUGCACAAUGGGCGCAAGCCUGAUGCAGCCAUGCCGCGUGUAUGAAGAAGGCCUUCGGGUUGUAAAGUACUUUCAGCGGGGAGGAAGGGAGUAAAGUUAAUACCUUUGCUCAUUGACGUUACCCGCAGAAGAAGCACCGGCUAACUCCGUG
rnacentral:rRNA from 1 species